AACCUAGCACACCUGCGGUGUGUACCUGCGGAAGGAUCAUUACCGAGUUAUACAACUCAUCAACCCUGUGAACAUACCUAAAACGUUGCCUCGGCGGGAACAGACGGCCCCGUAACACGGGCCGCCCCCGCCAGAGGACCCCCUAACUCUGUUUCUAUAAUGUUUUUUCUGAGUAAACAAGCAAAUAAAUCAAAACUUUUAGCAAUGGAUCU
rnacentral:misc_RNA from 1 species